rnacentral:rRNA from 1 species
AACGAACGCUGGCGGCAUGCCUAACACAUGCAAGUCGAACGAGACCUUCGGGUCUAGUUGCUCACGGGUGCGUAACGCGUGGGAACCUGCCCUUAGGUUCGGAAUAACUCCCCGAAAUGGGUGCUAAUACCGGAUAAUUUCUUCGGACCAAAGAUUUAUCGCCUUUGUAUGGGCCCGCGUUGUAUUAGCUAGUUGGUAUGGUAAAAGCCUACCAAGGCGACGAUCCAUAGCUGGUCUGAGAGGAUGAUCAGCCACACUGGGACUGAGACACGGCCCAGACUCCUACGGGAGGCAGCAGAGGGGAAUAUUGGACAAAGGGCGAAAGCCUGAUCCAGCAAUGGCGGGUGAGUGAUGAAGGCCUUAGGGUUGUAAAGCACGUUUACCCGGGAUGAUAAUGACAGUACCGGGAGAAUAAGCUCCGGCUAACUCCGUG